rnacentral:lncRNA from 1 species
GAAGGAAUCAUUUUGGGUGCUGUAGCUUUACAAGUCUAUGAAGCAAAAAACUUCCAGUAAAUGCAUGCCAGGGCAGAGGCCCAGCACUUGCAUGCAGAGCCUACAGAGGUCAGAAGAAAGCAUCAGAUCCCCUGGAACUGGAGUUACAUAUAGUUAUGAGCCACCAUAUGGAUGCUGGGAAUCCAUCGAGAUCCUCUAGAAGAGCAGGCAGUGCUCUGGGCCAUCUUUCUAGCUCCUGACAGGUAGUUUUGAUAUACGUGGAUACAGCCCAUGGUUUUCUCUUGGAAUGUGGUGCCAGGUCAGGCAUGGCUCUUUUCUCCAGUGUACGGCAUGGCAACAGCAAAGGCACCCCUGUCAAGCUUUCCAUCAGGGGAUGGCAAUGCUCCACACUCUUCUAGGGGAUUCCAUGAUCACUUAGAGAUGAGCAACUCAGGUUCCAGUAUAUCACCAGAGUUUGAAAUCUCGACCCUUUACCAUGGUCACUCCUGCCCCAGCCACUGCCCUUCUUCCACGGACAGCCCUGCCCUCUGUGGAACUAGGUCACCUUUCCAGG